UAGAAACCUUAAGCCAGAAAUAAGAUAUCAGAGUAUUUUAAAUCAUGUCUUACUAAAUCUCUCUGAUCUCUUCCUGCUUGCUUAUGAUGUAUCUAUGAAAGAAAAUCUCCUGUGAGUUUAAGAGAAUGCUCUAUGCUUGCCAUACAAUGGAUCUUGCACAUCAGAAAUUAAGCUUAGACCAGGGAUACUAAGCUUAGAUGAGUUUGAAGAAGUAGUCUAAAUUAAUUGUAUUAACAACUAAAAGGCAGUGCCUGUUUAAGUGGCCAAGAGGAGAAGGCCUUUGUUUUGAAAUAGCAUACCUGCUGUUAUGACCCAUUAAGUUCAGAUAUCCCAUCUUCAUACUCACAUGCCCAUCCCCAACUCCUUCAGUGGGCUGAAUGGUUUUCAUUUUCAUUUUCGAGGUCAAGGUUGCUACCUACCCUUUCUCUCUGCCCUUGUUUAUAGCAUCGCCAUUGGAACAACACACAAUUUGGUGAAGCUUGGCUUUAUAUCCUCAUCAAGCAAACCUCUCUUUAAUGUUUCAUCAUACCAAGUGAGGCGACAUGACUCUUGGAAGAUAUAUGAAAAAUAGUUUUUGAUGACACACAUCAAUAUGUCAUAUCUUAACUUAAUAAACACUUUGCCUAGUCCUUUCAUGUCCACCUUUAUAAUAUUUUCAAUUGAAAUGCGCCAUCCUACCAC
rnacentral:lncRNA from 1 species